rnacentral:tRNA from 1 species
GGAUGAAUAGCUUAACGGGAAAGCGGCCCCUUCUAAGGAGCAGGUUGAAAGUCCGGCUCUUUCUUCAUCCG